GGGAGUUUGGUCUAGUGGUAUGAUUCUCGCUUUGGGUGCGAGAGGCCGCCAGUUCGAUUCUCACAACUCCCC
rnacentral:tRNA from 1 species